GAUGAACGCUGGCGGCGUGCCUAAUACAUGCAAGUCGAGCGAACGGACGAGAAGCUUGCUUUUCUGAUGUUAGCGGCGGACGGGUGAGUAACACGUGGAUAACCUACCUAUAAGACUGGGAUAACUUCGGGAAACCGGAGCUAAUACCGGAUAAUAUUUUGAACCGCAUGGUUCAAAAGUGAAAGACGGUCUUGCUGUCACUUAUAGAUGGAUCCGCGCUGCAUUAGCUAGUUGGUAAGGUAACGGCUUACCAAGGCAACGAUGCAUAGCCGACCUGAGAGGGGGAUCGGCACACCUGGAACUGAGACAGGGCCCAGCCCCCUACGGGAGGCAGCAGUAGGGAAUCUUCCGCAAGGGGCGAAAGCCUAACGGAGCAACGCCGCGGGGGUGAUGAAGGGUUUCGGAUCGUAAACCCCUUUUAUUAGGGAAGAAAAUAUGUGAAAGUAACUGUGCACAUCUUGACGGUACCAAAUCAAAAAGCCACGGCUAACUACGU
rnacentral:rRNA from 1 species